GACGAACGCUGGCGGCGUGCUUAACACAUGCAAGUCGAACGGAAAGGCCUGCUUUCCCUUGUGGAUUGCGGGUACUCGAGUGGCGAACGGGUGAGUAACACGUGAGUGAUCUGCCCCCAACUUGGGUAUAAGCCUGGGAAACUGGGUCUAAUUCCCGAUAGGACUGCAGGGUGGUGCCUGUGGUGGAAAACGAUUUUCUAGUGGUUGGGGAUGAGCUCGCGGCCUUUCAGCUUGUUGGUGGGGUAAUGGCCUACCAAGGCGGCGACGGGUAGCCGGCCUGAGAGGGUGGACGGCCACAUUGGGACUGAGAUACGGCCCAGACUCCUACGGCAGGCAGCAGUGGGGAAUAUUGCACAAUGUGCGGAAGCCUGAUGCAGCGACGCCGCGUGGGGGAUGACGGCCUUCGGGUUGUAAACUCCUUUCGGCCGCGAGGAAGCCACCUGGUUGGAAGGGUGGUGACGGUAGUGGUAGAAGAAGCACCGGCUAACUACGUG
rnacentral:rRNA from 1 species